UGAAGCAGCCAAAGCUCAAAUUUGAAAGCUCCUAACAAGGCGCAUUGUAAUUUGAAGAUGGUAUUCCGAGUUAGUCCUUUACCUCAGUUCCUUGGAACAGGACGCCAUAGAGGGUGAGAGCCCCGUGUGGUAUUGGUAGCUUUCUCAUGUGGUUUACCUUCGAAGAGUCGAGUUGUUUGGGAAUGCAGCUCUAAGUGGGUGGUAAAUUCCAUCUAAAGCUAAAUAUUGGCGAGAGACCGAUAGCGAACAAGUACUGUGAAGGAAAGAUGAAAAGAACUUUGAAAAGAGAGUGAAAAAGUACGUGAAAUUGUUGAAAGGGAAGGGAAUUGGACUAGACUUGGAUUUCUGUUAUCAGCAGUCUUUCGGGGCUGUGCACUAGCAGUUUUCUAGGCCAGGAUCUGUUUGGAGGCCAGGAUAAAACCCAAAGAAUGUGGCUCUUCGGAGUGUUAUAGCUUUGGUUGAAUACUGGCAUUCUGGACAGAGGACCGCGCUUCGUGCUAGGAUCCUGGCGUAAUAGUCCUAUUCCACCCGUCUUGAAACACGGACCAAGGAGUCUAACGUCU
rnacentral:rRNA from 1 species